rnacentral:rRNA from 1 species
CUCCUAUGGGGGGCAGCAGUGGGGAAUUUUGGACAAUGGGCGCAAGCCUGAUCCAGCUAUUCCGCGUGUGGGAAGACGGCCUUCGGGUUGUAAACCACUUUUGUAGAGAACGAAAAGUCUAUUGAUAAUACCGAUAGAUGAUGACGGUACUCUAAGAAUAAGCAUCGGCUAACUCCGUGCCAGCAGCCGCGGUAAUACGGAGGAUGCGAGCGUUAUCCGGAUUUAUUGGGUUUAAAGGGUGCGUAGGCGGGUUAUCAAGUCAGCGGUAAAAUCGUGGAGCUCAACUCCAUCCAGCCGUUGAAACU